rnacentral:rRNA from 1 species
UACGGAGGGUGCGAGCGUUGUCCGGAAUCACUGGGCGUAAAGCGCACGUAGGCGGAUCGUUAAGUCGGGGGUGAAAUCCUGGAGCUCAACUCCAGAACUGCCUUCGAUACUGGCGAUCUUGAGUCCGGAAGAGGUGAGUGGAAUUCCUAGUGUAGAGGUGGAAUUCGUAGAUAUUAGGAAGAACACCAGUGGCGAAGGCGGCUCACUGGUCCGGUACUGACGCUGAGGUGCGAAAGCGUGGGGAGCAAACAGG